GACGAACGCUGGCGGCGUGCUUAACACAUGCAAGUCGAGCGGUAAGGCCCUUUCGGGGGUACACGAGCGGCGAACGGGUGAGUAACACGUGGGUGACCUGCCCUCAGCUCUGGGAUAAGCCUGGGAAACCGGGUCUAAUACUGGAUAUGACUCCAUGACGCAUGUUGUGGGGUGGAAAGCCUUGUGCGGCUGAGGAUGGGCCCGCGGCCUAUCAGCUUGUUGGUGGGGUGANGGCCUACCAAGGCGACGACGGGUAGCCGGCCUGAGAGGGCGACCGGCCACACUGGGACUGAGACACGGGCCCAGACUCCUACGGGAGGCAGCAGUGGGGAAUCUUGCGCAAUGGGCGAAAGCCUGACGC
rnacentral:rRNA from 1 species